UGGGGAAUUUUGGACAAUGGGCGAAAGCCUGAUCCAGCCAUGCCGCGUGCAGGAUGAAGGCCUUCGGGUUGUAAACUGCUUUUGUACGGAACGAAAAGACUCCUUCUAAUAAAGGGGGUCCAUGACGGUACCGUAAGAAUAAGCUCCGGCUAACUUCGUGCCAGCAGCCGCGGUAAUACGAAGGGAGCUAGCGUUGUUCGGAAUUACUGGGCGUAAAGGGCGCGUAGGCGGUAAGAUAAGUCAGAUGUGAAAGCCUUGGGCUCAACCUGGGACCUGCAUUUGUGACUGUAUAGCUAGAGUACGGUAGAGGGGGAUGGAAUUCCGCGUGUAGCAGUGAAAUGCGUAGAUAUGCGGAGGAACACCGAUGGCGAAGGCAAUCCCCUGGGCCUGUACUGACGCUCAUGCACGAAAGCGUGGGGAGCAAACA
rnacentral:rRNA from 1 species